GCACUGAUAAAUAAUCGCUACGAGCCACAAUGCUACCUUCAGCCUCCAUCCCUCUGCCUCCAGCCUCAGCCUCCAGCCUCCAGACUCAGCCUUCAGUCUCCAGACUCGGCCUCAGCCUCCAACAUCCGGUACCCAGCCUCUUGCCUCCAGCCUUGAGCAUGCAAUCUCAGCCUCCAGUCUCAGCCUCUAGCCCCUAGCCUCAGCCUCCAGCCUUCAGCCUCAGUCUCCAACCUGCAGCCUCCAGCCUCCAGCCUCAGUCUCCAACCUGCAGCCUCCAGCCUCCAGGUGCCCGCAAACCAGCACCAAGGAAGUGUGAU